UACAGAGGGGGCAAGCGUUAUUCGGAAUUACUGGGCGUAAAGGCGCGUAGGCGGCCAUUCAAGUCGGAGGUGAAAGCCCAGGGCUCAACCCUGGAAUUGCCCUCGAUACUGUUUGGCUAGAGACCGGAAGAGGUAGGUGGAACUGCGAGUGUAGAGGUGAAAUUCGUAGAUAUUCGCAAGAACACCAGUGGCGAAGGCGGCUUACUGGUCCGGUUCUGACGCUGAGGCGCGAAAGCGUGGGGAGCAAACAGGG
rnacentral:rRNA from 1 species